AUCAUCAGUGAGCUUCUCGCUGCAGUAGUCCCCACCUGGCAUCUCGCCCCCUGCACAGCCCUGAAUCGUAGGAACAGCGGCAUCACUCAGAGAUCAGCUCCGUGAACCGCCCAGCUCCUGUAGCAGCAUACUGGAGAUUGCCAUCAUAUUCCUGAAGAGAGAAUCAAUUCUUCAUUCAACCAUCUUAAAGCCAAGAACGGUGACAGAGUUUUCAUUACCUUUUCUUCUUCAAUGAGAUCACCCUUCAAUUUAGGAUUCAUGCCUGCCUUCUGGACUUCUGAGGACUAUAAGAAUGUUGAUAAAACAAACGCAACCAUUCAAGCUGAGGCUGCCCAUCUGGAAGCACCUCUCUCCUCCACUGUGGCCCUGAUAAUAGUGCUCAUAAUUAUUUUCUCAUUGGUAAUGACCUCCUUUGUGACAUACUGUUUCCAUAAGUGGAAACUGAGGGGCCGCAAGCUGCAGCGAGCCCAGGAAGAGUAUCAGAGAGAUCAAGAGAAAAGUAUCUUUCAUAGCCCUCCGGAUCUGAUUUCCUAGAAAGGUAGUAAACUGACAAUUGAAGGGUGCCAUCUGAAAUGAAGCAACAAGACAAGAAAGAACCAUAAAUGAAGUGACAUGAAAUCAGAAGAAGUUAUACAUGAAACAACAAAAUGUGAAACAUGAAGGAAAACCAUGGGCAGCAAAAUAAUCAGAAAUGAAGGGAGAAAAAAUUAAUUGUAUAAUGAACUCUGAGAGAAAGGGUUCAUGAUGUAGUUGAUCUGUUAAUGAAGCUGAUCAUUGUUUGAAAGCUACCAACAAUUUCAUUAUAAAUUACAAGUAAUUUGGUGGUAGGCUUUGUUUCAUUUUGUUUUUCAGUGUAAGGGGAAGCAAAGUAAUAUAUUUUACAUUUACAUUUUACUUACCACCAACUUUUGAUUUGAUAAUGAUUGAUAAGUAUUGAAGUUGGCCAGGUGAAUACACAGUAGGGAAUUUUGUCUAGUGUAAACCUUAUAAUGUGGUAGUUUAUUUCCUGGCUAGUAGUGUUUGUAGUAAAGUUAAGAAAAAGAAAA